CUGAAAGUUGUUGAAUCUAGAAGCUACACAAAAAUGCACUAAAUACAUGUGCUAAAUGUGAAGAAAAUCUACCAUGGUGUAUUUAGCACAAGGGGGUGCGCUUAAUAACCUUUAUUCUUCUAGUAAUUGGUCUUUGAUUCUUUGAUGGGCUUGGGCCCCACGUAUCAUUCAGAUUCAAGGUCAAAUAUAUGUAAUCUCACCAGGAUGGUUCCCUAAACCUAAAGAUCAAUGGUCACUAGAGCUAUAGCCCCC
rnacentral:lncRNA from 1 species